rnacentral:rRNA from 1 species
CCUACGGGGGGCAGCAGUGGGGAAUAUUGCACAAUGGGGGAAACCCUGAUGCAGCGACGCCGCGUGAGUGAAGAAGUAUUUCGGUAUGUAAAGCUCUAUCAGCAGGGAAGAAAAUGACGGUAACUGACUAAGAAGACCCGGCUAACCACGUGCAAGCAGCCGCGGUAAUACGUAGGGGGCAAGCGUUAUCCGGAUUUACUGGGUGUAAAGGGAGCGUAGACGGUGAAGCAAGGCUGAUGUGAAAGGCAGGGGCUCAACCCUUGGACUGCAGUGGACACUGUUUUGCUGGAGUGCCGGAGAGGUAGGCGGAAUUCCUGGUGUAGCGGUGAAAUGGUGAGAUAUAAGGAGGAACACCGGUGGCGAAGGCGGCUUACUGGACUGUAACUGACGUUGAGGCUCGAAAGCGUGGGUAGCAAACAGGAUUAGAUACCCUAGUAGUC